UAAAAGCUCUUCUAAUUUUUCUCUUCUACUUUUUCUCCCUUCUCUCCUUCUCUUCUACUUUUUCUCCCUUCUCUCAUACCUUUUUUUUUUAAUUUUUUUUU
rnacentral:sRNA from 1 species